AGUGGACUCAAGGACAAUCUCACUUUCUCAUCCAUCUCUUUGUGAUAAAAUGACAGGCAUUUCAAGAGACAAGAGGCAGGCUGCUGCCCACUCAAAAGUACCAUUCCACCCAUCAGGCAGAGCUCCCAAAUUAAGGAUCAUAGCAAUUACACACAAGCAACAGCAUGGAAAAGAAGCCAGUGCUGCAGAGGUGAUCUGAAUCCAGGAAGAAAGGGAAGAUGCCUUCAAUCAAAAAUACAUUAUAUAUAAUAUAAAUUAUACAUAUUUUAUAUCUGUAUAUAUUAUAUAUACAUAUAAAAAUAUGGGGACUGGGCACAGUGGCUCAUGCCUAUAAUCCCAGCACCUUGGGAGGCUGGGGCAGGAGGAUCACUUGA
rnacentral:lncRNA from 1 species